ensembl:lncRNA
CGCGGGCAGGUCCCGCGCGGGACCGCGGAGCUGCGCGGCCCCCUCGCCUCCCGGCCGCAGACACCUGCCGCGUCCGGGCGCGCCCGGCCCGGCCAAUACCUGUCUGCCAUGCCACCUGCAUUGGAGCCAGCAGAUUAUGGACUGAAACCUCUACAAACUGAUCUCCAGCCUGAGUAUAUGCCAAUUGACAUGGGGACACAGAGGCCAGCAAUUUAAGGAUUUUCCCAUUUGCUUGCAGUGAAAGAUGGACUGCAGACUGUUGGACUGAAGCUGCUUCGCGGAUGAAGUCUCUGUUUGGUCCAACUUUGUGUCCUCUGCAGCACAUAAAUAAUGUCUGGUGUGUAGAAUCGGCUCUAUAAAUGGAUAAUGCAGGCCCACAUGGCUUUCUCCCUCCGACUGAGUCGCAUGUGAGGGGCCAUUGACUGUGUGCAGUCAAUCCUGGGACCAGACCUCCAGCACAAGAGGAAUAUGUGUGCCUAUGUCACUGUGUUCUUUGUAAGAGACAGGCCAGAUGGGAAGAAAGGGGCUGCCUUUGACCUUUCAGAGCCACUGAACACAGCUGGUCAUCAGAAGCCACACACGCACACACACACGUGCAUACACGCACACAAGGGCCACAGACAGUUCUUUGACAGCUGUAUCUUGAUCGCCAAAGGAGAUAAAUGUUACAAGUAAGUCGCUGGAUUGCAAUUCGUGGAGAACAAGCCAGAGUUUAAACUCACCCAAGUUGGAAGCAGCACACUGGAUUCAAGUUCCAUUUCUUUUUCUUCUUUGAGUUAUCGUUUAGAUUUUGUGGUUAGCAGUGGGUGAUGAGGAAGCUGGGCUCUUCUUGGAGGAUCGUACUGGAAAAGGUGAUUUUCCUGGAUGGAGAAAGCCUGGGUUACUUUCUCCUCCCCUCCUCUUCCCUCUUUCCUCUUCUUUCCUCUUCUCUUCUCUUCUUUUUUUUUCUUUUCUUUCCUAGUACUGGGGAUUGAACCCAUGGCCUUCAUACUGAGUUACAUUCCUAGACCCUUUUGUAUUUUAUUUUUCGGAGAGGGGAUCUUAAUGUGUUGCUAAAUUGCCCAGACUGAGCUUGACCUUGUGAUCCUCCUGCCUCAGCCUUGCAGAAUGCUGGGAUUACAGAUAUGCAGGAAAAACUCUAAAUAAUAGUCUGAAAUUUCGAUGACGUUUCCACAGUAGACAGGCACAGCCUGAUUUAUUAAACCGCCUGUCCCUAUCCUUGGUACCAUAAUUCUCCAGUUUUUAUUGGCGUGGUGCGUGCUUUCCCUUCUCUGUUAGCAUUUUCCAUGAUAACACUGGCUUCGCAGAAUGGCAGAAGCACUGCUUUCCCCUGGCAUCCAACACUACACGCUCUCAAAGCCCCGAGGAGAAGCUCUGCAAUUGCAGGUGGCAAACACACUCACGUGUGGCUUUCAACCCUCUCAGGCCACUUCCUUCUGAGCAAUGAGCAAAGCCCAGUCUGCAACUGCUUCCUGCCAGACCCCAGAGAACUCUGGGCUCUGUGUGGUUUAUUCUGAUCUGGCUCCUGAGAGAAGCAGGAUUUACACUGGGCUCUUUCUGAGUAGAGGCAUCAUUGAUGGAAUAAGUUGAUUCGACUUUUAUUAAGAUCUUAGAAAUGUUUUUAAAGGGCAU